UCUACAUAUCAAUAAGCGGAGGAAAAGAAACUAACAAGGAUUCCCCUAGUAACUGCGAGUGAAGCGGGAAAAGCUCAAAUUUAAAAUCUGGUGGCCUUUGGUCGCUCGAGUUGUAAUUUAGAGAAGCGUCUUCCGCGCUGGACCGUGCACAAGUCUCCUGGAAUGGAGCGUCAUAGAGGGUGAGAAUCCCGUCUUUGGCACGGAUGCACCAGGGCUUUCGUGAUGCGCUCUCAAAGAGUCGAGUUGUUUGGGAAUGCAGCUCAAAAUGGGUGGUGAACUCCAUCUAAAGCUAAAUAUUGGCGAGAGACCGAUAGCGAACAAGUACCGUGAGGGAAAGAUGAAAAGCACUUUGGAAAGAGAGUGAAACAGUACGUGAAAUUGUUGAAAGGGAAACACUUAAAGUCAGUCGCGUCGACCGAGACUCAGCCUUGCUUUGGCUUGGUGUUCUUCUCGGCCGACGGGUCAGCAUCAAUUUUGCCCCUCGGAUAAUGGCAAGAGAAAGGUAGCACCUUUACGGGUGUGUUAUAGUCUCCUGUCGCAUGCGAGGGUCAGGAUUGAGGAACUCAGCACGCGCCUCUCGGUGUCGGGGCUUCGGCCCACGCUACGUGCUUAGGAUGCUGGCGUAAUGGCUUUAAAUGACCCGUCUUGAAACACGGACCAAGGAGUCUAACAUGCCCGCGAGUGUUCGGGUGGAAAACCCGUGCGCGUAAUGAAAGUGAAAGUUGGGACCCCUGUCGUGGGGGGCACCGACGCCCGGACCAGACCUUCUGUGACGGAUCUGCGGUAGAGCGUGCAUGUUGGGACCCGAAAGAUGGUGAACUAUGCCUGAAUAGGGUGAAGCCAGAGGAAACUCUGGUGGAGGCUCGUAGCGAUUCUGACGUGCAAAUCGAUCGUCAAAUUUGGGUAUAGGGGCGAAAGACUAAUCGAACCAUCUAGUAGCUGG
rnacentral:rRNA from 1 species